AGCCUCUCUACCCCAGGGUAGGGGUAAGGUCUGCGUACAAACUAUCCUCUCCAGACCCCACUAGUGGGAUUAUUGUUGUUGUUGUUUUUGGUUAUCUUUUAAGGAUCUUUAGUUUAACAUUCAUGUAGUAAUUAUUUCCUUUUCCUAUCUCGAAGCUAAGCAUUUUCAGUACAGCUACUGUAGCUCAUGCUACUGAUAAUUUUGCAGUAAACAACAAGCUUGGUGAAGGAGGAUCUGGACCUGUUUACAAGGUGACGGGUUGGAGAGUGUAUGCUGUCAAUGGUUGAGGGCGCAAGGUGAAUUAUAUACCGAGCACAAUGUGCUGAAAGAACGGGUUUGGGUGGGGUGGGGAGAGGGGGUUUGGCGGGGUUGCAGCACGAUAGCUUGAACUUCUGGUUGGAGGCUUGCUUACAUGUGGUGUUCUUGUUAUCUCUCAGUUUUAGCUCUCCAUUUUUCUCUGGAGCAGAAGGGUUGGGAGUCUAUAUGUGUAAGACAUUGGACUGAGAAAUUGUUAGGGGUUCCCUAGUUGAAAGUUGAAACUAUUGAAUUUGGCUUUGCGAUCUCUUUUUAAGUUUUGUACUAUGAUGGCAAGAGUUGAACUUAAAUACAAUGUGACGAUUUAUAUAGCCGACAACAACUUGUUUUGGGACUGAGACGUAGUUGUUGUUGGUUCUCUCUUUAAAGUUUCGGAGCUCCGGUGUCUGCGGAUAGUUCUUCUUUCUUUUCUUUCCAAUAUAUUUGUUGCAUUUGACUUUCUUCCUACCUUAUAGGACAUUUAUUUUGUGUUGUCCAAAGGAACAAAGAAUUCUCAAGAUCAUAAUAUAACCUGAUUUUGUACCUGAA